CCGAGUCGAGUUAGGUGCCCGACACAACUCUCUCUCUCUCUCUCUCUCUCUCUCUCGCUACGCUUCUCAUCUUUCCAGGAUUGUGGCGCAACGGGCAGGAACAUCAGCGCCGACAGCCACACGUGAAACUUCCCGAACGAAAAACCUUAACACAAGAACCGAUAAACACCCGCGCGCACGAACGCAGGAGAGAUAGCCAGGAAUGGAGAGGAGGGUGGACAACAAGUGGGCGUCGACGAUCGCCAGCAUAUGGAUCCAGGCCAGCUGCGGCGCGUCCUACACCUUCGGCAUCUACUCCUCCACCCUCAAGUCCUCCCAGUCCUACUCCCAAUCCACCCUCGACACCGUCUCCGUCUUCAAGGACAUCGGCGCCAACGCCGGCGUCAUCUCCGGCCUCUUCUACUCCGCCGUCACCGAGAAACGCGGCGGCCGCUCCUCCGCCGGCGUGGGGCGGCGGCCGCGGUCGGUGCUCUCCCCCGGGCCGUGGCUCGUCCUCGUUGCCGGGGCCGUGCAGUUCUUCGCCGGGUACUUCUUCAUCUGGGCCUCCGUCGUCGGGCUGAUCGACCGGCCGCCGGUCGCGGCGAUGUGCCUGUUCAUGUGGGUGGCGGCUCACGCGCAGACUUUCUUCAACACCACCAACGUGGUCAGUGGCGUGCACAACUUCUCUGAUUACAGUGGGACGAUUGUGGGCAUCAUGAAGGGCUUUCUUGGUUUAAGUGGAGCUAUAUUAAUCCAAGUGUACUACACAGUGUUGAAGGACCAGCCGAGUGCCUUCAUUCUGAUGCUAGCAAUUUUACCCACAUCCGUGUCGCUUGUGCUCAUGCUUUUGGUACGAAUCUACGACACGAAUGCAAUGGGAGACAAGAAGCAUUUGAAUAGCUUCUCUGCAGUCGCUUUGAUCAUUGCCACUUAUCUCAUGAUCUUAAUAAUACUGGAGAACACCUUUACCAUGCCUUUAUGGUCACGCAUCCUAACGUUCAUAGUUCUGCUAUUUCUGCUUUUUUGGCCUCUUAGAACGGCAAUUGUGGCAAUGAGGGAGGAAAGGGAAGGAUCUUCAGAGCCAUCAUCUUCUGAGCAGAGUCCAUUGUUGGACGAUCCGCUGCAAGUAGUAUCCAAGGAAGUUUCAGAAGACAUGAAUCUUAUCCAGGCGAUGCGUACUGGGGACUUCUGGCUGCUGUUCAUGGCCAUGGUGUGUGGGCUCGGCUCUGGAUUAGCCACCAUAAAUAACAUCAGCCAAAUCGGAGAAUCCCUCGGAUACACCACCGUUGAGAUUAACACUCUGGUCUCUCUGUUGAGUAUAUGGAACUUUCUAGGUCGCCGAGCCGGAUAUAUUUCCGAUGUCUUGCUUUACAAGAGAGGUUUUACGAGGCCGUUCUUGAUGGCUUUUACCCUGCUCAUCAUGGCAGCUGGUCACAUAAUCAUUGCUUCCGGCUUUUCUGGAAAUCUUUAUGUGGGUUCAGUCCUCGUGGGCGUUUGCUACGGUUGCCUGUGGUCGUUGAUGCCCACGAUCACUUCGGAGAUAUUCGGUGUUGGACACAUGGGAACCAUUUUCAACACCAUAGCCAUAGGUAGUCCGGUCGGAUCGUACAUUCUGUCGGUGAGAGUGAUCGGAUACAUCUACGAUAAGGAAGCAACGGGGAGGAUAACUCCUGUUAUGGCACUCAUUGCUUCAUGCUGUCGUUCUUCAUAUUGGCUUCCGUUGCCUUCUUCGGUUUCCUGGUCGAUUUAGUGUUGUUCUUCCGCACGAGAAGUUUCUACAAGCUAAUUCUUCACAGAAGAUCGCAGCAUUCGCAGCUCACAGCGGCUGGGUGAAUUCCUUGAUUAGUUUGUUCUGUUUCAUGCCAUUUCGUUCUCGUAUUUGCAUUUCGGACCAAGUAGAGUUCUGGGCGCUAUGGAGUACCCUUAUUUUCUCUCGUUUUUCUUAGGGGAGAGAGAGAGAGAGAGAUCGAUCGAAUCAUUCGUUGGCUUCGAUUUGUCCAUAUAGAGCAGUUUUCCAAUAUUUUUUGCUUUCUGCCUUGGCAUUCUCUCUCGUUCAGUUGUUGUGCUAUCUCUGUUUUCGACCCGACAAAUGUCGAACAAGACCAGAAUUAUGUGUUUUAUCAGGUGCAGAAGUUAAAGAAUCGAAGACGUUCGAAGUUUUAUAAUUGGCAGGGUCACUUCUGAGGAUUGCCUCUUUAUCCCCAUCAUCGUCACAGGAAUAGUGAGGGAAUAAUGUGUUCUAGUAGCAACAUUGCUCUGUCAUUAGGCUUUUAGCAGAUGCAUAUGUCCUGUAAGCAUUCGGAUGCUCAUGGGACAGCAGCUGUAGUUGAGUUUGAAAAUUGACAGGAAAUGGAAACUCAAACUAUACUGGAUGACCUUAUGUAGUUCUUGUUGUCACUGAUGACAAUGCGAACUUGCCUUAUCAAUGAAGCCAAGUCUAUUUUAGGCAA